ACCGGUCAUGACCGGCCGGCGUUGAGGCGUACCGCCUGUGCCGCGGUGGCCAGUUCGGCGAGGGCCAGCGGCUCGUUCAGCGACCGGCCGGUC
rnacentral:tRNA from 1 species